rnacentral:rRNA from 1 species
CGGUGAAUACGUUCCCGGACCUUGCACACACCGCCCGUCAAGCCAUGGAAGCUGGGUGUACCUAAAGUCGGUAACCGUAAGGAGUCGCCUAGGGUAAAACUAGUGACUGGGGCU